UCUGUUGUUCACUCAAGUUUUCAAUAUCGACGUGUUUGUAUUGGAGUCUGAGACUCAAACGAGAGAGAGAGAAGAGAGAAAAGAGAAGAGCAGAGUGAAAGAGCAAGAACAUUAACGCAAGAAAGUGAGAGGAUCAAUCUACGUUUACGAAGUUUCAUUUUGGCAAUUUCUCCCAGAUAUAAUGCAAGCGAGAAAAGAAAAAGUAUGACAUGUCUUGUUUUAGGCUCAAAAUUUGAGUACUGAAUCCUAAAUAAGACACUAUCAAUGUGUGGCAAAAGUGUGUGUUUGUGUAUAUUAAAAAGUUCACCAAAAUUUAAUUCGGUAAUCAUUACCCAAACAUGAAGAUGCAACAACGAUGUUUCGUGUUGACCAGGCAACGGAAAAACAUGGAAGGAGAAGGGAGAGAGUACUUCCACCAAAUCCCCCAUUAUAUAGAGAGUACAAGUACUUCUUGCACAUGCAGUACAACCAUGAGUUGAAAUUGGAGUUAGCCAAAUAACUGUACUGUGUACUACAUUCAUGUAUAGAGGGGAGAGUUGUACUUAGCACAAUGUAGAAUGUACUGAAACACAAGUCUUAGCUAGGGCUAGGCUAUGCAGGUGCCUAUUAUUUAAGCCUGAUAUUCUCCAAUGACCAUGGAAAUCCUUCAAACACACAGCACACAACAAUGGAUCAGGAUGACUUCUCCGACGAAUUCAAAACUCCUGUUUACAGCUCUAUCAAUUCUACUACUACGACAUACUACUAAUCAUUGUAAAAUAAAUGAAAUUUAAUCCCUUCAAAAUUGUAUUGUGUGUAACCCCCACCACGUUCUACUUGUGUUGUACUUCUAUAAGAAACAAAUUUUUUUCUUGUUUUACCUGAAUCAAAUGCAAAGUGGGGAGAUCUUAUUGAUGCAAUGCUUCUCCUCUUCACUACCACUACGAAGAAGAAGAAGAAGUGAAGGAUGCAAUUGCAUCCAUUUCCUGUUGCAAUAACAGAGCGUCCACGAAUAUAUCCAGAUUCUCCCCCUGCAUUACCUCCUCAAUUGAGUGGUCGGUAAUGCCUACUCGAUGAUCUGUUACCCGCCCCUGCGGAAAGUUGUAUGUGCGGAUGCGUUCCGAUCUGUCCCCACUACCAAUCUGUAUUGCAUCAUCAUUUUAACAUAAAAAUCACUAGGAUUAUGUUUAUAAUCAUUCAAUACUUUUUGGACUACUAAAA